UUCAAUGUAACCAUCUAAAUUAUUUUUAUGUGAUAUUUGGGGAUAGGUAAAUCUAAAAUUAGUUAAAACAUUUAAUUUUAAAUUAAAUGCAAUAACGAAGUUUACUUGGGGUGAAAAUGUGCCUAAUUAAAAUAUGACCAGGACAUUUCUUAUAGUGAGAUAUAAAGCACCCAUAGAGUCUGUUCCGCUUGUUCUGGCUUCAUCUAUAAAAGAUGUUACAUGUAAGCCAGAAUAAGCAGACAAGACUUAUAAAAAAACAUUUGAUGCAACUUUGGCAAAUCCAGCAACCAGUUUCUCUUCAGAAACACUCACAGUAAUGGCCCAGGGACUUGUAUACAUGUCUUUGGUUUCCUGACAGACUGAUAAAAACCUGUGCAUCUUCAUUCCCAGAAACUGUGUAAAACCAGACAGAUUUGUGCAGUAUGCAUCAGUCAGUCCGUGAACGGUCUGUUAUCCACGAGCAUAUCUGAGACUGACACUAGCAUUACAGAGCCACACACACACUUUUAUGUGCUGUUUAAGGGUCACCUCAAAUGCCCUGUCUUGUCUUUAUCUUAAUUUCAAAUCUGCUGUGAUUUAUUUCAUCCUUUGAGUUUUCUCUUGUCCUUUUCUUUUCUCACUUUUGUACCUGUCUUUGUAUCUGUACUUUCAGAGCGAUCGUAAUUGAAUAACCUUUACAUCAAUAGAUGCUUUGCUCCUUUUCAAAGGGUAAUUGAGACGAAACACGGCCUAUUGUGUGUCUUCAUGGCUGCUUUAAUGAACUGUUCUUUGAUGACUGUUUCAAUAGUAGAUCUCAGCUCUCACCUCUCUGAAAGUCGCUCCAGACCGUUCAAGCACGACAGCCUUAAUGAACUUAAUAACCGUGAAAUGAAGUUUUGUGAUCUACGGAGAGAAGGAAAGUUUCUAUCAGAUCUGUGCCAGAUAUCAACAGUAUAAACGCAGCCUUUUAUGUGUGGUUUCACGGCAGAUCUCAGGCCCUCGGCUCCACAGAUGAACUGUGGGCUGUGAUCUUCGGUGCUGGCAGGGCUUCAGUUCGCCCUCAUGUCUGCCAUCUGAUUCUACACCUGCCAAACUCCACGGCCCCCAUCUGCCCUUUACAACAUGACCUCAUCGGCACGGCACGGGCAGGUGUGAGUGGUCUGGUUCCUGGUGUCCUCGGCGCUCAGCAGGUGGAGGCGACUGCAGCAGGUGUUAGCGCGGAGGGUGGAGAGAAGCCGUGAUUAAUGCCGCGGUGCCCUUUACUGUUUCAGAGCGGCAGGGCGGCAUUAGCAUUCAAAACAUGAAGAGCAGCCAGUGUGUGUCUGGUGUGGAAAACAGGAAAACAGCAGAACACACGUUUACUUAAUCUGUUCACACAUACAUGUGCACACUGCAGUUCUGCAGUGCUUGUUUGCUUCAUUUGCAUUCAGUUUUUUCCUCUCUGAGAGCAUCUAGUCUGUUAAUUAUUUUACAGACGCUUGAACAGGACAUGCUAGCUGUCCUAGCUGACUUUACACAGAUAAAUUGAUUUGCUCAGUUUAAUUUCUCUUCUGUUCUCCUUCUGGGAGCCAAUACGGAAAGCAAUCCUUUAAGUACUUAAUCAAUACGGUUUCUGUGGCAUCAUUGCGAAUUAAUGUCCUGAGCGUCCUUGUUGUGUCCGAUAGCAUCUCUUCAUCAAUGAAAACAUUCUCCUCAUAAACCAAUGAGUCAGAUUCAUCAGUUAGUCAUCACACUUUGCAACAUCAACGCUGAAAAAAUCCAUAGAAUAUGUAAAAAUCCUUCAAACAAAAUACAUUUGUCCAACAAUGCAUUGAUUUUCUGAAUAUGUGAGUGUCUUACUGCACUGGCAGAUUUAUUUGACUGAUAUUUUUAGCUUGUUUACAAUUAAGAUAAAAUGCACCCAUA